rnacentral:rRNA from 1 species
UACAGAGGUGGCAAGCGUUGUUCGGAAUUACUGGGCGUAAAGGGCGCGUAGGCGGUCCUUCAAGUCCCGCGUGAAAUCCCCCGGCUCAACUGGGGAACUGCGCGGGAAACUGUAGGGCUUGAGUUCGGGAGAGGGAAGCGGAAUUCCGGGUGUAGCGGUGAAAUGCGUAGAUAUCCGGAGGAACACCGGUGGCGAAGGCGGCUUCCUGGACCGACACUGACGCUGAGGCGCGAAAGCUAGGGGAGCAAACAGG